UUCUUUUCUGAAAGAAACAAGAAUCAGUCCACUCUUACAUCAACUGCACAUGAAUAAUUUAAAGCUCUUUACAGUGACACGAGCACAGGGUAACGAUGGGGUCAGAAACACUUUUAACACAGUACAGUACGCCCAAACCUUCAGCCACAGCUACAUUUAGCGCACUUUGUGGUCAAAGCUCACCCCAUGCCGGCUCCUCUCUGGCCUAUCACUGACUCCAGCUCGUCCAGGAAGAUGGUGGAUGGGGCGUGGUAUCUGGCCAGCAGAAACAAGACCUGUACAGAAAGAUGCACAAAUUUCUCAGAGUCUCCCCUCCACUUGCUGACGAUGCUUGAGGCAGAGAUGUUGAAGAAGGUCGUCUUGCACUCGGUGGCCACAGCCUUGGCCAGCAGGGUCUUGCCUGUACCUGUGUGUGUGUGUGUGUGUGUGUGUGUGAAACACAUGCUCACAAUUCUACUUUUCAACCAUGAAUUAAAGAGACCCAGACAAAGCCAUACAGCACUGGAGGUCUUACCUGGGGGGCCGUAGAGCAGCAGGCCCUUCCACGGAGAGCGGAUGCCUGUAAACAGCUGAGGAUACUGUAAAGACAGUGAGAAAAAAGUGUCAAAAAUGUGCUAAUAAGACAGAA